GGGCAGCUGGGCGCGAGGGGGUGGGGGGGAGCGCUCCGCUUCGAGUCAUGAUUGGCUGUGCUUUGCCAGCUCAAGAGCCAAUGGGAGGGCGGCGUUCGCGGCGCUCGUCACCAGUCGCUUGGGGGAGUGGAUAUGGACAUCCAAUUAGGAACGUCAUUGUGCAUCUUCUCUCAGAGCUGAAAAGAAGCUUCAGCAUUCAGGUCUAGCAGAAAAUUCUACUCAAACAGCCACCAACUGCACUAGGUCCCAGGUGACGGCAUGGAGGAGGAAGAUGAAUCAUUUGGAUUCUGCUGCCAUGGACUGACUUAUCUCUGACUUAUCUCUGAAACAACUGAUGCGUGCUCAGAGAUGUGGCCUGCAGCCCCCGCUCCAGGACGGCUUCCCAACACGACGCCUCUUCUGCCUCCACCUCCUGUGAGCAUCGUCUUUGUCAGCACGCAGUCCGGUGCACCCGAAGCUGGUUAUUGGCUAUAUGUGAGUUGUAGCUGUAUAGGCGAUGAGGAGACUGACCCUGUCCGCAGCCAUAGCUACAUGACCGUGAGGUACCUAUCUGCAUACGCUGAAGGUG